rnacentral:lncRNA from 1 species
UGCUUGGGACACUGAUCCACUUCACACCUGGUGAGUGCUCCAGGCAGAGCAGGCUGAGGGGAACUGGUAGCCUGAGUCCCGGCUGCUGGCCGUGCGGGUUUCCUGGGAGCAGGGAGCAGGUGCAUCUGGGGCCUGAAGCUGACUUUGCACUGAAGAGCGAGUGACUCCCGGGCCUGGCCUCCUACCUGUGGCACAGCUGCAGUAAUCCUCGGAGCUGUUACUGGGAGCUCUGGGGUGAGAGUGGAUAAGCGAUGCAUCUGUAUUAUCGCUCUGCUCGUUUCAUUGCUAAGGAACCCAUUCCCUGUUGCCCACACACCUUGCAGCGAACACUGGAAGCAGGGCUUGUCCUUUCACUGACCACAGCCGGGAAGCCCGGCCUCUUCCUGGUUGCUUAUUUCAAAGCGUCUACUUGAGUGCACAUCCUUGAUCCUGGGACAGUUCUCUUCCUAGGGGAGGAUCUGCCUGUUUUUCUGCCUCAGUUGCCCCUCCCUCAGCACUGCAGGGCCUCUGACGUCCCCAUCCACAUGUGGGCAGGGCCAACACAGCAGGGCGGUGGCCUCUCAGCACUCAGGUGCUACACAGAGGCCUCGGCCAAGAAGUUGACUUCCUGUGCCUUGAGUCUUAGACCCGCCUGGCCACCGCAAGUCCCUUGCUUGGGCCUUAGGGAAUCACAGGGAGACUCUGAGCCGCAGGUGGCCGUCCCAG